UACGGAGGAUGCAAGCGUUAUCCGGAAUGAUUGGGCGUAAAGCGUCCGCAGGUGGCAAUGUAAGUCUGCUGUUAAAGAGUCUAGCUCAACUAGAUAAAAGCAGUGGAAACUACAUAGCUAGAGUACGUUCGGGGCAGAGGGAAUUCCAGGUGUAGCGGUGAAAUGCGUAGAUAUCUGGAGGAAUACCGGUGGCGAAGGCGGCAUCCUGGACCGACAUUGACGCUGAGGAGCGAAAGCUAGGGGAGCAAACGGG
rnacentral:rRNA from 1 species